CAGUCGCCGCGGGAAUACGUAGGUGGCAAGCGUUGUCCGGAAUUAUUGGGCGUAAAGGGCUCGCAGGCGGUUUCUUAAGUCUGAUGUGAAAGCCCCCGGCUCAACCGGGGAGGGUCAUUGGAAACUGGGAAACUUGAGUGCAGAAGAGGAGAGUGGAAUUCCACGUGUAGCGGUGAAAUGCGUAGAGAUGUGGAGGAACACCAGUGGCGAAGGCGACUCUCUGGUCUGUAACUGACGCUGAGGAGCGAAAGCGUGGGCAGCGAACAGGAUUAGAUACCCCCGUAGUCCCUGUCUCUUAUAC
rnacentral:rRNA from 1 species